AUUGAACGCUGGCGGCAGGCCUAACACAUGCAAGUCGAACGAGUGGCGGACGGGUGAGUAAUGUCUGGGAAACUGCCUGAUGGAGGGGGAUAACUACUGGAAACGGUAGCUAAUACCGCAUACCAUCGGAUGUGCCCAUAUGGGAUUAGCUAGUAGGUGGGGUAACGGCUCACCUAGGCAUCGAUCCCUAGCUGGUCUGAGAGGAUGACCAGCCACCCUGCACCUGAGACACGGCCCAGACUCCUACGGGAGGCAGCAGUGGGGAAUAUUGCACCAUGGGCGCAAGCCUGAUGCAGCCAUGCCGCGUGUAUGAAGAAGGCCUUCGGGUUGUAAAGUACUUUCAGCGGGGAGGCGUUACCCGCAGAAGAAGCACCGGCUAACUCCGUGCCAGCAGCCGCGGUAAUAC
rnacentral:rRNA from 1 species